rnacentral:sRNA from 2 species
AAAUUUAGCUUCUAGGGUUCCGAUUCCCAAUUUCUGUGGGGGUGCCUGGUCCGAGAGAAGCAAGCCAUCUGCAGUUCCCCCACCCUGGUGUGGUUCAGAUGGUGACACGGCGGGAAAAAAGCCCGGGAGAA